rnacentral:rRNA from 1 species
AGAGUUUGAUCAUGGCUCAGAGCGAACGCUGGCGGCAGGCUUAACACAUGCAAGUCGAGCGGGCGUAGCAAUACGUCAGCGGCAGACGGGUGAGUAACGCGUGGGAACAUACCUUUUGGUUCGGAACAACACAGGGAAACUUGUGCUAAUACCGGAUAAGCCCUUACGGGGAAAGAUUUAUCGCCGAAAGAUUGGCCCGCGUCUGAUUAGCUAGUUGGUGAGGUAACGGCUCACCAAGGCGACGAUCAGUAGCUGGUCUGAGAGGAUGAUCAGCCACAUUGGGACUGAGACACGGCCCAAACUCCUACGGGAGGCAGCAGUGGGGAAUAUUGGACAAUGGGCGCAAGCCUGAUCCAGCCAUGCCGCGUGAGUGAUGAAGGCCCUAGGGUUGUAAAGCUCUUUUGUGCGGGAAGAUAAUGACGGUACCGCAAGAAUAAGCCCCGGCUAACUUCGUGCCAGCAGCCGCGGUAAUACGAAGGGGGCUAGCGUUGCUCGGAAUCACUGGGCGUAAAGGGUGCGUAGGCGGGUCUUUAAGUCAGGGGUGAAAUCCUGGAGCUCAACUCCAGAACUGCCUUUGAUACUGAAGAUCUUGAGUUCGGGAGAGGUGAGUGGAACUGCGAGUGUAGAGGUGAAAUUCGUAGAUAUUCGCAAGAACACCAGUGGCGAAGGCGGCUCACUGGCCCGAUACUGACGCUGAGGCACGAAAGCGUGGGGAGCAAACAGGAUUAGAUACCCUAGUAGUCC